rnacentral:rRNA from 1 species
CAUGCAAGUCGAACGGAAACCUUCGGGUUUUAGUGGCAAACGGGUGAGUAACACGUAAGCAACCUGCCUUUAAGACGUGGAUAACAAUUGGAAACAGUUGCUAAGACAGGAUAGGAAAUUAAGAGGCAUCUUUUAAUUUUUAAAAGACCUUUUUCGAAAGGUAUACUUAAAGAGGGGCUUGCGCCACAUUAGUUAGUUGGUAAGGUAAAGGCUUACCAAGACGAUGAUGUGUAGCUGGACUGAGAGGUCGAACAGCCACAUUGGGACUGAGACACGGCCCAAACUCCUACGGGAGGCAGCAGUAAGGAAUUUUUGGCAAUGGAGGAAACUCUGACCGAGCGACGUCGCGUGAACAAUGAAGUACUUCGGUAUGUAAAGUUCUUUUAUUGAAAAAAGAAAAAAUAGUGGAAAAACUAUCUUGACAUUAUUCAAUGAAUAAGCCCCGGCUAAUUAUGUGCCAGCAGCCGCGGUAAUACAUAAGGGGCGAGCGUUAUCCGGCAAUUAUUGGGCGUAAAGGGUGCGUAGGCGGUUUGAUAAGUCUAUAGUUUAAAUGCAGUGCUUAACGCUGUAGCGCUAUAGAAACUGUCUGACUAGAGUUAGAUAGAGGCAAGCGGAAUUCCAUGUGUAGCGCUAAAAUGCGUAAAUAUAUGGAGGAACACCAGAGGCGUAGGCGGCUUGCUGGGUCUUAACUGACGCUGAGGCACGAAAGCGUGGGGAGCAAACAGGAUUAGAUACCCUGGUAGUCCACGCCGUAAACGAUGAGUACUAAGUGUCGGGUUUCGGCUCGGUACUGAAGUUAACACAUUAAGUACUCCGCCUGAGUAGUACGUACGCAAGUAUGAAACUUAAAGGAAUUGACGGGACCCCGCACAAGCGGUGGAUCAUGUUGUUUAAUUCGAAGAUACACGAAAAACCUUACCAGGUCUUGACAUAAUUUUGCGACAUUAUAGAAAUAUAAUGAAGGUUAUCAGAAUUACAGGUGGUGCAUGGUUGUCGUCAGCUCGUGUCGUGAGAUGUUAGGUUAAGUCCUAAAACGAGCGCAACCCUUGUCGUUAGUUGCGACCACGUAAUGGUGAGCACUUUAGCGAGACUGCCAAUGAAAAAUUGGAGGAAGGUGAGGAUUACGUCAAAUCAUCAUGCCCCUUAUGAUCUGGGCUACAAACGUGAUACAAUGGCUGUUACAAAGAGUAGCUACAACGUGAGUUUUUAGCCAAUCUCAAAAAAACAGUCUCAGUUCGGAUUGAAGUCUGCAACUCGACUUCAUGAAGUUGGACAUCGCUAGUAAUCGCGAAUCAGCAUGCCGCGGUGAAUACGUUCUCGGGGUUUGUACACACCGCCCGUCAAACCACGAAAGUUGAUAAUACCCGAAAGCGGUCGCCUAACUUCGUCAGAAGAGGGAGCCGUCUAAGGUAGGAUCGAUGAUUGGGGUUAAGUCGUAACAAGGUAUCCCUACCGGAAGGUGGGGAUGGAUCACCUCCUUUCUAAGGAAACAUAGAAUCAUCAUCUUCAGUUUUGAAAGACUUAGUUAGGUUUUUCUAAUUUGAAAAACUUAGUUAAGUUUUUCUCAUUUCUUUUAUUUUUUGGUAUCCUGGGCCUAUAGCUCAGUUGGUUAGAGCACACGCCUGAUAAGCGUGAGGUCGGUGGUUCAAGUCCAUUUAGGCCCACCAAACGUUUUGCUAAAAAAAACGUGUUAUCAAAAAAAAGUUCUUUGAAAAGUAGAUAAACAAGAAAACAAUAGCCAUUUUUAAAGGAAGUAAGGGCGUACAGUGGAUGCCUUGGCACUAAGAGCCGAUGAAGGACGA